CCCAUCCCCCUCCUCUCCGAGAAAUCUCUCUCGUUUCCUUCGGGGUGGAUUCGAUUUGUCGCCGCCGCCUGUCCCUCGCGUCCUCCUCCUCCUUCCUAUGCGGCGACCGCGCCGCGCUCCCCGGCGGCGCUGCCGGAGGCGUGGGCGUGGCGACGCUGCCGGCGCGCGGGCUGACCAUCCAGAUGGCGCACAAGAAGGGGGCCGGGAGCACCAAGAACGGCAGGGAAUCCAAGGGACAGCGCCUCGGGGUUAAGAUUUACGACGACCAGCUCGCCAAGCCCGGCGCCAUCAUCAUCCGCCAGUGCGGCACCAAGGUGCUCUGGAGCUAGCGUCAGGUGGUAUUGGCGUCGCUAUUUUUAACAUCCUAUCCAAGAUUUUCAACAUCCCCUUGCUGAGCAUAGCAACCUCAUUUGUGGCCGAGGAUAUUUCCAAGAAUGCUACCAAGCAUUCUACUUCAGCUGACAUCUGUGUCAUCGGAUUUGGUUCUAGCUGCUGCUAUUGGUACAAUCGAAGCAUUGGCAUUGUCCCUAGGAUCAGGAUUGUUUCUUAAACUAAUGGGCGUCUCACCUCUAUGUCUCUCCGAUGUAUACAUCUGCAUGACUAUUUCUUUCGCUGAGAGCCUUGGGAGCACCUGCAAAUGUGAUUAUGUUAGCAGUGCAGGGUAUCUUUCGUGCAUUCAAGGAUACCAAGACUCUCGUGCUUUUUAUAGGUUUGGGGAAUCUUUCUGUUGUGGUCCUUCUUCCGCUACUUAUAUAUGGUUUUAAGCUUGGUAUAACAGGAGCCGUAAUUUCUACAGUCGCAUCCCAGUACUCAACCUAUUGAUGCACAUGGACGUGAUGACUCUCUAGCGUUUAUGGACCAACCAACCUGUAAUCAUGGGCCUUAUUGUCUUGUAGACCAUUUGGUGUUUCGAGUGUUUUGGAGCUUGCACUUUGUGCAUGUAGAUACAAACUUGUGUGUUCUGGACCAUAUGAAGUCUCUCAUAGUAACCAAUAGACCUUAUCUUUUUGUGACUUGUGUGUUCUAGAUGAUUGUUAAGAUGGUCAAAACUAUGCUUCCUCUAGGUUAA